GAUGAAGAACGUAGCGAAACGCGAUAAGUAAUGUGAAUUGCAGAAUCCAGUGAAUCAUCGAAUCUUUGAACGCACAUUGCGCCCGCCAGCAUUCUGGCGGGCAUGCCUGUUCGAGCGUCAUUUCAACCCUCGACCUCCCCUUGGGGAGGUCGGCGUUGGGGACCGGCAGCACACCGCCGGCCCUGAAAUGGAGUGGCGGCCCGUCCGCGGCGAUCUCUGCGCAGUAAUACAGCUCGCACCGGGACCCCGACGCGGCCACGCCGUAAAACACCCAACUUCUGAACGUUGACCUCGAAUCAGGUAGGACUACCCGCUGAACUUAAGCAUAUCAAUAAGCGGAGGA
rnacentral:misc_RNA from 1 species